AUGGCGCUCCCGGAUGAACUCCUGGAGGAGAUCUUCCUCCGCCUCCCCGCGGCCGCCGACCUCGCGCGCGCCUUCACGGCCUGCGUCUCCUUCCGCCGCGUCAUCACCGGCCAUCCCUUCCUCCGCCGAUUCCGCGUGCUCCACCCGCCGCCUCUCCUCGGCAUCCUCUGCUGGGAUCUCACCCCGGCCCAGCCGCCCCACCCUUCCGCCGCCGCAGCGGCCACCUUGGCCGGCGCCGACUUCUCCUGCCCCUUCCUCCCCCCGUCCCCCGACCGCUGGUACCGCCGCGACGUCCUCGACGGUUGCACCCUUUUCAGCCCCCGCUUCAAGGCGGGCAGCCAUUCGCGCAACAGCAUGCACAGGCCCAGCGACCUGGUCACGGAGUUCGCCGUCUGCGACCCGCUGCACCGCCGCUACCUCCUGCUGCCUGCCCUCCCCGACCAUCUAGCCGACCUGGUCCAUCAGCCGGACAUCGUGGAGCGUGAGCCCUUCCUUGCUCCUCCUGGUGACUCGUCAUUCAGAGACUUCAGAGUCAUGUGCUUGGUGCGGUGCACAACCAAGCUCGUCCUCUUCGUCUUCUCCUCCUGCGCUGGGCAAUGGCUCGCUGAUCCUAUCACAUUUGACGUGUUUGGGUGCGUCGCGGCGUUGCGCCGCUACUACGCCCAUGGAUGCUUCUGUUGGCAGACUUGUGAUGGUGCCGACAUGCUCGUGCUCGACACGCGCGGGAUGGAGUUCUCCACUGUCGACCUUCCACCUCCACCUGGCUCUUAUAUGCGGGACAUGGCCAUUGUGGAGGCAGAGGAAGGAAGGUUUGGGAUGUUUACUAUCUCUGAUAAAGUUAAACGUGGUGUAUAUCAUCUCUUGUAUGCCACACGAUGCAAGGAUGGGAAUGGGGAAAACCAAUGGCAACCCAAGCCUCCAAUCUCUUUGCCAGAAAAUUAUCGCUAUUGCAUCAAGGGUGUAGCUGGUGGAUACUUACUCCUAAUUGGGUAUCCAAAAGAUGAUAGGUCAACAGUAGACUAUUUUUCACUGAAUCUCCAGACUUUCCAGGUUGAAUGGUUCUGUCAGACUGGUGAUUAUGUCAUGAUUGGUCACAUGUAUGCCGAUCUCCCACCGCCCUUAUCCCCACCAACUCUUUGA
rnacentral:rRNA from 1 species